rnacentral:rRNA from 1 species
AACGAACGCUGGCGGCAUGCCUAACACAUGCAAGUCGAACGACACCUUCGGGUCUGGUGGCGCACAGGUGCGUAACGCGUGGGAAGCUUCAUGUAUGUACGGAAUACCUCAGAGAAGUUUGGGCUAAUACCGGAUGAUUUAUUCGGACCCAAGAUUUAUCGCCCUUGGAUGAGCCGGCGUUGUAUUAGCUAGUUGGUGGGGUAAAGGCCUACCAAGGCGACGAUCCAUAGCUGGUCUGAGAGGCUGCGAAGCCACACUGAGACUGAGACACGGCCCAGAAUACUACGCGAGGCAGCAGAGGGGAAUAUUGGACAACGGGCUAAAGCCUGAUGCAGCUACGCUGCGUGAGUCAUGAAGGCCUUAGGGUUGUAAAGCUCUUUUACCCGAGACGAUAAUGACAGUACCGGGAGAAUAAGCUCCGGCUAACUCCGUG